ACUUUAUAAACUUUAUAAAGUGGAACCAGGUGUGGCAGCUCAUGCCCGUAAUCCCAGCACUUUGGGAAGCUAAGGCAGGAGGAUCACUUGAGGCCAGGAGUUCAGGAACAGCCUGAGCAAGCAACUUCCAGUCCUAUAAGCUCUAUUGAUGGUAUGGACCCUACACAGAAAUGUUCCUGUGGACCUAAAAUGUACAACUGUUCUUUAAAUAAAACUUCAACUGAUUUAACUUUAUAAGCUACAGGAAACAACAAGUGAAAUGAAAUAUACUAACAUAUAUAGGUAUACAGGAGUCUCUCUCCAUGGCCACCAUAGCUGAAAAUGUGGUGGGUCACAUCUGAAGCCAGCACAGCCCUGCGUCUUAUCCAAGGCCCACAGCAAGUACUGCCUGGGUACCAGUGAUGUUCAAGGCCCAACAUCUCUUUAGUCAGCUGGUGAUGAAUCCUGCUAGAACUGGAUCCUUCCCUUCAAGGCAGAAGGUUCCCCUCUGGCUCAUGGUGUGUCUAGAAAUGUAGUCUAGGAGCUACAGCCUAGAAUGGGGGGCCUCAGGACUCUGCCUGAUACCCUAUUCUACUGUGGCUGAGCUGGCAUCCAAGUUGCAAGACAUAGUUGCCUUUACUCUCUACUAUCUUCACCUCAAGCAGAAGGAAGGAGUCUCUCCCAGAGUUGUAAGCUGCAUUGCCUAGGGUUGGGGGAGGGUUGAUGCAAGUACUCCCUGGGCCACCCUAGCUGGUAUCUCAUCAGGUCAUGUGGACCCCAAAUCAACUGGCUCUGAACCCAGCAUAACACGUGUCCAGGAAUUACAACCCUUGUGGCCUAGACUGCCUUUCAAGUUUACUUAUGACCCCAGAGAACUUUAGCUCAUGGUGGCAGGGUUUGCUGGAAUUGGAACUCAGAUUCAGACCUCUGGGAUAGACAACUUGCCUCUGUCUAGGGCUGAUCUAAAUGCUCUUUGUGGGUGCUGGUUGAGUUCUGCCAAGUGUUGCUUUCCGCUGUGACACAGAAGCACUGUGGAUGCAACAUCCUACGAGCAUGGUGCUCUCCCUUCCCCAAGCACACAGAUUCUCUUUCCACGCCAUGUGGCCACUGCAGGGGGAUGGGGGAGGGAUGGUGUAGGUGAUUAAAGACUGUCUUUCCUAUCCUACUCCAUGCCUCCUUCCUUAAUAUAGUUAUUCAAUUUGAUGUUCCUGCAGAGGGGAUGACCACCGGAGGCUUCUAAUCGGCCAUCUUGCUCUGCUUCCUCUCUAGGAUUGGGCCUUAUUAAUAUUACAUUAUUACUAUCACCUUUUCACAAUCUUGUCAAAAGAGGGAGGAAAAAAAGAACACUCAAGAAACCUUAUAUUUUUAGUGAUCUUUGUGUUAGUUUACUUAACUUAGAAAAGAAACAAGUCUUUAAUGAUAAUUUAAUUUACAAGAUUUUUCUUACUUAACUCCCAGGGGGACUGGAGUCAAUCAUAUGGUGGGACAGUAAGUGAUUAAAUUUUUACAUUUCUAAGAUCUUCAUACAGUUUAACACAAAACAAACCAACAGAUAUCAUCUAAUAUAUAAUUUACUUCAAAUGCUUUUGUGGCACAUUACAGUAGUACAUGCAUAAGAUGGCAUUCAUUGAAAAGUCAGGGACAUCUAGAUAGUCACCAAAGUUUAAGGGAGUUGUAAAAUCAAAAAGGUCACUGUAAGGGUAGAUUCUAAAAUCUACUCAUGUAUCUGGGAAGAUCAUGGCUCAAACAAAACAUGGUUGGAAUAACCAGUUUUUUGGCCCUUUUUUAUUAUGUAGUAAUAAAUUGCUCCAGUUGAAUGCUUCACC